rnacentral:rRNA from 1 species
CCCUUAGAUGUUCGGGGCUGCGCACGCGCUACACUUGAGGAAACAGCGUGUAUUGACCUGGUCCGAAAGGACUGGGUAAACCUGUGAAACUUCUCCGUGCUUGGGAUAGAACUUUGUAAUUCUGGUUCUUGAACGAGGAAUCCCUAGUAGGCAUUACGUCAUUAGCGUGUGCCGAUUACGUCCCUGCUCUUUGUACACACCGCCCGUCGCUACUACCGAUUGAAUGCCUAGGUGAUGGUUACGGAGGCCGAUGUCCAUCCGGCGCAAAGUUUUCACAACCUAGGUCAUUUAGAGGAAGUAAAAGUCGUAACA